UUUGUGUCUCUUCAGGAGGGGAGGUAGAUGGCGAGGUGGACCAGGAGGAAGAAAUAGUGCAGCCAAGGGUGACCUUGAAGAAUUGGGAUCCUGUGAAAUUGAUGAAGGAGAUAUAUAGAAUAAAACUUGAACCUCAGGAGGAUGAAGACCUUGCCACCAAGUUCAUUACCAUGGAAGGUUACAUGGAGAAAUUACCCAUGGGAAAGAAAAAAGCUACAUUGCUUAAAACAUGGAAGAAAAGAUACUUCCGAGCCAAAGAAGGAAAUUUGUUCUA